rnacentral:rRNA from 1 species
GACGAACCGUGCGAACGUUGUUCGGAAUCACUGGGCUUAAAGGGCGCGUAGGCGGGCCACCAAGUCCGGGGUGAAAUCUUUCGGCUUAACCGGAAAACAGCCUUGGAUACUGGCGGCCUCGAGGGAGGUAGGGGUCUGUGGAACUUCUGGUGGAGCGGUGAAAUGCGUUGAUAUCAGAAGGAACGCCGGUGGCGAAAGCGACGGACUGGACCUCCACUGACGCUGAGGCGCGAAAGCUAGGGGAGCGAACAGG